GAAGAGAAUUUAGGCUUCUAGGGUGAGACUCCUGCUUGGUUCUCUUUGCUCUGUGUAUCUAGGACUUGGCUGAAUUUUUGUUUUGUUUUUCUUUUCCUUUUGUAAAUAAACAUCAAGCCUUGUGUUCCUCCUGCUGGGUAGACUUAAGGCAGGUAGUGGCACAGGCCUCUGAUCUCAGCACUCUGGGAGGCAGAGGCAGGUGGCAGAAGCAGGCAGGUGCUCUGUGAGUUCCAGGACAGAUAGGACAACACGAAGAGAUUUUUGUCUUGAAAAGCCAGAAAACAAACAAAAAAAGGGAAAAAAGGAAAAAAUCUCAGGCUUUAAACCCCUUGGUCAGGUUAUGUUUCACAUAAAAACAACUGGCCACAAACUAGAAUUCAUAUGACUUUGAGCACAGACACCAUCUACUCCAGCAGUGGACUGACCUCCAAUGGCUAACUUGCACCUAUCUUGCCUCAAUGCCCACUUUCUGCCAAAGUGAGAAUGCUAACAUGGGUUUGCUAUUGUUCUAGGCACAGCAGAAGACUGACUGCCCUUCUUGCGGUCAAACAUAAAGCCCAUGAAAAGCAGGGCCAAAUGCUCGCACACAUUGGGAAGCUUCCUUCUCUGUCUUUAUACCGACCGACUUGGGGAUUGUACGGGCCAGUUGGUAAUUCAGUUCAACAGGACUUAGUAGAUAAGAGUUGGUUCAAACUUGGGACCUCUGACCCCGAGUAGUUUUAGGUAUAUAUUAAGCACUGCACAAUUUGAUAAAAUCUUUUUUCCUGGCUAUAAAAACUCAAUCCCAUGUGCACAAUAACAUUUAAGACAUGACUACAAUGAAGCUUUUUUAAACAGUACCUGUUAUAUCAUCCAUAAAAGUGGGUUCUAUAGAUUAAUGAGAACAUUCCAUACAAAGAUAGGUUCUAUACAUUGACAAGCUAACGGUAAGGGUGUAGUAAGAGGAUAUAGUGUUCUCACAGAUAACAGGCUAUCUUUUUUUUUUCUUUUUCUUUUUUUCGGAGCUGGGGACCGAACCCAGGGCCUUGCGCUUCCUAGGUAAGCGCUCUACCACUGAGCUAAAUCCCCAACCCCAACAGGUUAUCUUUUAAGGGACAACUCUGUGUGCUUAACAUUCCUGGCUGCACUAACACUUAUCUGGGAUCUUGAGGAUCUCCAUGAAGCUCUGUAAGGAACGGUGUCCUAGAAAGUCCACUCCAGAUGGUGACAACAGUUCCACCCUCCUAGUCAUUAGGUCUCUGUGAGUGCCAAUGUGUUUCGAAUGGAAGACAAGAAGAAAAAAUGAAAUACCUUGAAGACAAGUCUGUUCCCUUUCCUGGCCGUCUCUUCUACUGGUCCAUCCCCUGAAGAAGGCUGAAAUCUGAUUCAGAAGCCUGAACAUACUGUCAGCACUAUGGGUCAGCUUAAGUCUGCAGGCAAUCAAGAAGCAGGCUAUCAUGUAUCCAAGCCAAAUCUAGGAGUGCGUAUGCAGCGGAGGACCACCUGGAACUUCCGAUCCUUCUGCCUCAGUGACAAUGGAAGAAGAUGCAUGCUGGCUGCAGCUGCCACCGCCCCCCCCCAUGAGCUAAGGUCCUGAACAUGGUGAAGAGAAAUAGAAAAGUAACUCUCACGCCCUUUUCUAAGUAAUGUGGUCCCCUCUGGAUCCUGACAGUAAGAAGUUCAAGCUCUUCCGAUCAUCAUGCUACCUCCAAAGAAAUCUUAUAUACCACGAAGCUUGAAAUUGUCUUGAGACCGAGGAAGGUUCAGCUAGGAAGGCCUAAAGAGAACUUAUUGUCUAGACCCAGAAGGUACCAGGUUACUUAGAAAAGUGUGUGACAGUUACAUUGACCUAACAGAACACAUGUUGCACUUACAGUUUGGAUACUGUGUGUCUGUGGGAAAAAUGGGAUAAAGGGAGAACAGAAGAUCUCAGAGAAGUGGAAUGGAGAAGGGAAGGGAUUACACUGUGGGGAGAGCAACAGUCAGAGACAGUGAGACAGAAAUAAGAUCUUGCUAUGUAGCUCAGGCUGACUCGAAAUUUACCAUAUAGCUCAGGCUGAAUGCAGACUUCUGGUCCUCCAACCUGAGUGUCCUGGGGGCUGUAGUUAUGGCAUCUGCCUGGGAUAGUUUGAUGAAGGGCUGAUGCUAGCUAGCUACAGGACAACAUCUUCACGUGUCCAUACUUCUUAGUUGUGCAGAGUGUAUGGUGUAAUCACAAAGAUAAAAUGUGGAGUAAGAAUCUCUUUUAGGACCUGGAAAGAUGGUUUGUGGUUAAGAGCACUGGCUUCUCUUUCAGAGGACCCAGAACCCAUUCAGAGGUUCACAGCCCUCUGUAACUAUAGCUACAGGGGAUCCAACACUCUUUUCUGGUCUCCAUUGGAACUUCGAACCUAGGUAUUAUGUGUGUAUAUGUAUGCAUUUAUUCACACAAACAUAUAUAUGAAUAACAAAGAUAUAUGAGUAAUACAUAUGCAAAACAUUUAGACAUCAAAUAAAAUGUUUGGAAAGAACCUUGGCUAAAAGGUAAUUUAAUCAGAGAAGAUACUUUCUACAUAUAGGGGAGAGCUGGUACACCUUAACCAAUGAUACUAAUUUGUCUAAAAUGCACGUAUGUAAUGUAUCUGUGUGACAGACUGGUUUUUGUCUAGCAUGUGCAGUAUUGUCUAAGGGCCAGAGGGUGAAUAUCACACUGAAUUAUUAUACUCCUACAUGUAAAAUGAAUGAGAGAAGACACAUACAAUCAGUGUUUGUGAUGGAGUUACAGGCAAUGGACUAUUUUUUCUGUAUUAUUUUCUGUAUGUUCCUAGAUCUCUGUGAAACCUGUACAAUUUUUAUAACUUAAAAGAAAAUGCAACUUUAAGGCUUUUUAUGUUAAUUAAAAAGUGGUUUGAGAA